CAAAGGUCCAUUCUUCUGCCAGAGAUUUAUUGCGACGAGCAGAGGCGCUGGGAUGCGAUAAUUGCCUUCAUUCCCGGACGAAGACCCUGGUGAACAAAAGGCAGUUGCCCGUGAAUCCAUGGUGUGACUCAAGCAUCCGCUCGGAGGGGAGGAGUGAGAGCUGUGUGCCUGUUGCUGUAGCAAAAGCGAAUGGGUGUUAAUCAAAAGGGCAGCUCUGCCCUUUGCAGCAGAGAGCACAGCAGCCCUGCGGAGGUGGCCUGGGCCCUGCAGCCUUCGAAUCCGCCCUCCCGCACUGCCCCGGGGCCUCUGCUUGGGGGAACGCCAGAGCACUAGCGCUGCCGGCUCCGCUCCGCGAGGAAAGCGCGCCAGGGACRCGCUGCGAGCGUCCUGGGGAGCUCCUGCCUCUGACCCCCUGCUCUGCAGCCCUGCCCCGCUCAUCGCGUCAGGCCAGCGCUUCUGUUUGUCCUCACAGAAGCUCUUCUAGAGCUGGUCGUCUUCACCUGGACUCCCGACCCUGCUCCUGCUCAUCGUAUCAGCACGGCCUUUUUUCUUCUCCUGCCGGAGAGCUCUGUUAGAGCUAGCCUCCUUCCCCGGACUCCUGUGGACACUAUUACACUCUUGCUGCCAGCAGGAUCUCUAGUAACUUCCCCGCUGCCUUAUUUUUCUGCGAAGAUAAUGUUCCAGAUUUCCUGCGGUAGCGUCGUCGGGGACCUCCGUGGAAAAGUGCGGAGCUGGUGCUGCUAGCAGGGGUCGAGGAGCAGGGCGCAUCGCGGGCGCCACUCCGUCAGCAGAGCGCGGGGCUGCACGGUGGUUGCAGGCUGGCCGGUAACUUCCCUGUUCUCGCUCUCCUUCACUCGCGGAUCAGUCAAACGCUGAGUCAAACAUACAUCUUCCUGGAGGGCUCGGAGAUAGUUGUCUGUUUGACAGUUGUCUGCUGAACUUUGAAAGAUCAUUUGUGAAAAUAUUUUUGAGUCAAGGCUUCAGCUUUGACUUCCUUAGUCCCUUAGCAGCACGGUGCUUAAAUAACGUGCUUUUACUGUGUGCUCGGGAGAGUCCCCUUGGCACCAAARGGAUUACUCAAGGCCAGCAGUGCCAGUGCUGAAAGACAGCUUUAGGGCUUGUUUGUAUUGGAGAUUGCAAUGGCAAUUUCCAUGUUUGUAUCUUUUCAUGUCUAUAUCUGUGACUUUGUCAGUGCAGUUACCUGACUAGACCUUAUUUUGCCCUACAUGCGGUAUUUCCCUCGAGUAGGGGGUGCUGCGGGGGCUGACGAGCGGAGCCAUGAAGUUYGGCAGCUCUCCCAGAUCACUCUGUGGUACUGACUUGAAUUAUGAGGUACCAAUUGUGGAAGGAGGCUAGAUUUACUGAUCUGCAGGAUCUAUACUGGUGCUGUAAUCCUGUGGACUUAAAAGAAAUUAGAAAACUUUCUGUGAUUUGAUGCUGCUUAAUAAUGUAACUUAUGAUGGCUUUAUUAAAAUGGCUUUAAUUAGUUGAUUCAGAUAAAGAGGCUCUGCUGAGUUGCCUGUCUGUGCAUUAAUGUUACACUUCUAUAUAUGAUUUAUGAUAAAUUACCCUGUA
rnacentral:lncRNA from 1 species